GACGAACGCUGGCGGCGUGCCUAAUACAUGCAAGUAGAACGCUGAAGGAGGAGCUUGCUUCUCUGGAUGAGUUGCGAACGGGUGAGUAACGCGUAGGUAACCUGCCUGGUAGCGGGGGAUAACUAUUGGAAACGAUAGCUAAUACCGCAUAAGAGUAGAUGUUGCAUGACAUUUGCUUAAAAGGUGCAAUUGCAUCACUACCAGAUGGACCUGCGUUGUAUUAGCUAGUUGGUGGGGUAACGGCUCACCAAGGCGACGAUACAUAGCCGACCUGAGAGGGUGAUCGGCCACACUGGGACUGAGGCACGGCCCAGACUCCUACGGGAGGCAGCAGUAGGGAAUCUUCGGCAAUGGACGGAAGUCUGACCGAGCAACGCCGCGUGAGUGAAGAAGGUUUUCGGAUCGUAAAGAUCUGUUGUAAGAGAAGAACGAGUGUGAGAGUGGAAAGUUCACACUGUGACGGUAUCUUACCAGAAAGGGACGGCUAACUACGUG
rnacentral:rRNA from 1 species